rnacentral:lncRNA from 1 species
UAACAUGUUGAUAAUCAAUGGGCUUAUAUAAUAUAGCUUUAACAAUCUGUACAUUAAUAAUAAUAAUAUAAUUUUGAAACAUUCUUACACUUGUCCAUUGCAUAAAGAAAAUGCAAAGUUAGGAUACUUGCCUGAUGCGCUGCUUACACUUACGCAACUUAGAUUUAUCUUUUCUAUCACGACCUAUCAUUAAUCAAAUCAUUUUACUGAUUAGUAUAUCAUAACGUAACACAUAACACUGCCUAUUGCAGUCAGCACAUAACCUAAUCACCUUAUCACACAUGUUCAACAAUCAUGGUUUCACAAACAAUCAUCAACUCAUUCAUAAUCACAUUGUCAUACAUGUUUCACAGUCAUUGACUCACAAACAAUCAUUAACACAUUCCUAAUCACAUUAUCAUAUAACCUUAACAACCAUUGAAUCACAAAUAAACCGUUAACUAAUUAAAUUAUCUAUGUCCAGAUCAAUUUCUGAACCAUGUCGGUCUACCGACAACUUUAUCGGGUAAUAAUCGAGUCUAAGACUCUAUACAGUAAUUACAUAUUCAUUUGGAUAACUUAAACAUCAAUUGCACUAUCUUUCAUGGCUUUAUAAUAAUUUUUAAAUAAUUAUUAUCAUUUAUCAUAAUUUAUCACAAAUUUUCAAACACCGGAAUCAUUAUAAAAUGAUUUAAAUAUCAAAUAAUUCUAUUAUCAUUAAUAUUUAAUUAAUAUUAAACUAUUAAUGAAACCAUUGCCAAAAUAUUAAAGUUAUUUAUAAUAACUGAAAAUAUUUUUAAAGUAUUUAUAUUACCCUUAAAUGAUUUUUAAAACAUUUAAAAUCAUUAUUAAAUAAUUACCAUUAAUAUUUAAAUAUUAAUGAACUAUUUAUCCAAAUAUUAAAAGUCAUUAAUUAUAACUUAAAAUAUUUUUAAUUCAUUUUUAUCCCUUUUUAAAUGAUUUUUAAAUUAAUAAAACCAUUUUAAAACUAUUUAUUUAAUAUAAUUAUUAAAUAAAUUUAAUAUCAUUAAUCAUUAAAUAAAUAUCAUUAAUAUUAAUUUAUUAAUGAAAUUAUCCUUUAAAUAUUAAAAGUUAUAUUUUAUAACUUAAAAUAUCUUUAAACAUUUUAUCUUCAUUUAAAAUGAUUAUUAAAAUAUUAAAAUCAUUUUUAAACUAAAUUAUUUAAUACAAAUAUUAAAUAACUUUAAUAUCAUUAUUAAUCAUUAAUUAAUGAAAUUAACCAUUAAAUAUUAAAAGUUAUAUUUUAUAACUUAAAAUAUUUUUAAAUACUUUAUUUUCAUUUAAAAUGAUUUUUAAAUCAUUAAAAUCAUUUUUAUCUUAUUUAUUUAAUUUAAUAAUCAAAUAAAUCUAAUAUCAUUAAUAUUAAUUUAUUAAUGAAAUUUCUCCAAAAAUAUUAAAAGUUACAUUUUAUAACUUAAAAUAUUUUAUAAUACAUUAAUCUUUAUUUAAAAUAAUUUUUAAACAAUUAAAAUCAUUUUUCUAUAAUUUAUUUAAUAUACUAAUUAAAUAAAUUAAAUAUCAUUAAUAUUCAAAUAAUUAUAAAUAUUAAUGAAAAAUAUUCUAAAUAAUCAGAAAUUAUUUUUCAUAAUUUAAAAUAAUUUUAAAAACUAUUUUUGUAAUUUUUAUAAUUUAUUUUCUAUUUUUAAAUAUUUUUCGGAAUAUUAGAAAUUAAAAAUAAUAGAAACCGUCGCUAAAGGUCUUUAGCGACAGAAAGUGUCGCUGUUGGUGUUCUUGAGGCUCAAGAACACUGACAGUCAGUUUCAUGGUGGCUCGUUUGACCGUGAUAAUCUUCCAGCCUGAUCAUGUUUUGGACUAACCUAUGGUUCAAUCAUGUAGUGCAUAUGUAGUACUACAAUUAUCAAGUAUUACAUCAAUAAAACAACAACAAUCUUGCAAGAUCCAGAGCUUCAAUGAAGCUGUCAGACCCAUUCUGGGUUUUUCUGGGCCCAGACAGUUUCGAGUUGCUACAUCUAAGCUCAAAUUAAUCUAUGUUCUAGUCUUGGUUCAGGUGGUUUGAUGAUUCAUAAUUGUAGUCCUAGUGUCAAGGUACAUUAAUAAAACAAAAACUUAGAUUAUCAUCAACAGAAUCAAUAUAAAACACACGGUCAAACUCUGUCAGACAGCUUGUUCAAACUUUUCUGGAAAUCCCCAGAAAUUGCAAAUCGUGACCAAAUGGGUCAUUUUGACCAACUGCUCUAAUCGAUCUGUGAAUUAUUUUAAUGUUCUAAAAGCAUGGAUCUAGACUUCAUCUUAUAGGCUACAGAUUCAUUACAACAAAUACAUCAUAACACCAAUAUCAUGACAGAUCAAGCGACUUAGAAAUCUUGUCAGACUCUGUUUCAAAGGUUCUGGGCUGCCCAGAUUUUAACCCAGUCAACGUCGGUCAACAGUGUUUGACCGAUUAUAACUCGUGAUCUUGGUAUCUGAUGCUUGUACUACCACUUGCAGAAUAAAGACCUCAUACAAGGCUACAAAUGUAAACACUUAAACAACAAAAACAAUAAACACACAACGAUCUAUAGACUCUGACAUUUGAUGUCAGAUCACAAAAUUUUAUUUUCCAGAAAUUUGAAAAUCAUUGAUUUAAGCAUUUAGAUGUUAUGGACUUGUAAUAUACCAACCCAGAUCGUUAAAUUAGACUAUAAACAACAGCUUUUAACAACGAAUUACAAGAUCUAACAACAUAUCAUAAAAAAAUUUUAUGGUUGGGGUUUAUACCUUUGAUGAACAAAUUUUUGAUCUUGUGUUUCUGAUUUGUUAAAGGUGAACGUGGGGCUAUAUUUGUGACUGAUAUUAGCAAAAAAUUUCGUGGCUUUUAGAAAGAGAAGGUCUAGGAGGAGCUUG